rnacentral:lncRNA from 1 species
UUCGUCUUCUACCCGAGCAAGCAUGCUUUGUCAGAUUUCAAUAAUCAGUUUCAUAGUUCAUACCUUUUCGUUUCGUAUUCUACUGCUUAUUCCGAGAGGAGAAGCAUUAUAUAAACCCCCAAUUUGGCCAUGGAAAGAACCGUAAUUUUCAACCCUCCAUCGUCUCCUCCAUCUUCUCCUCUUUCACUGCUCUCUGCAAUUCAAUCAAAGGUUUGUCCCUAAUCUUUCUAAAUUCUGAAAUUUGAUUAAAUUAAGUAUUUGAAUCUUGUUCCACCUCACGUUCACAAACCAAUUUGAUUAAAUUAAGACUACGGUUGUUUGUUAAUAGUGGAAUUCAUGUGAAAUGUGAAGUUUCUUAUACGAUUGUUACUUUACAUAGAAUCUAUUUGCUUGAUCAUGGUAACUGUUAAGUUAGAUAUUGUUUAUCUUAAGUUAGAUUGUCCUUAACUUGUUAGCUUAACUUUAUGUGCAUAUAUAUGUUCUUCUCUUAACAUGGAUUGGUAAUGUGUACAAAUGAUAUUGUUUAUCUUAGAUAUAUUUUAGUAAUGUCUACGACCGAUUAUCUUAAGUUAGGUUUUCAUUAACUUGUUAGCUUAACUUUAUGUGCAUAUAUAUGUUCUUCUCUUAGUUACUGAUUUGUUUCGUUUAUGUGUGUGUUUAGAUGGGUUCUUCACCAUUUCCAGAUGAACACGAGUUCGAAGAAGAGAUGACUACGAAUGAAGUUGAAAGUGGGGGAAAGAGGAAGGACGCCCCAGAAUCAAGUGCAGCUAAUUCAAGGCCAGCUAAAGAGCUCAAAGUCGUCCUUCCAAGAUCUCCUGUGUGGGAACACUUCACGAGGACUAAAGAAAACAGAAACAAGUGCUUCUGCCAUUACUGCAAGAAGAUUUACGGCUGCAAUUCUAAGUCAGGGACGUCUAAUUUGACAAAGCAUUUGGCAUGUCUGACUCAUUACAUGAUUGAGGUCAUGUCUGACUCAUUACAUGAUUGAGGUCCUCAUGUGUUGUGAGCAAUGGAUGAGGCAAGACAUUAAGAGUGGUGAACAGACAGUGAUCACAAGUGCUCAACUACUCUCAGAUUUUGAAAUGUUUGAUCAACUUGAGAAAGGUAAUCUUUAACAAAUUUUGAUACUCAUAAGUCAUAAUACUUUGAUUUAUAAUUCUGUUUGUAAUGUAAUUUUAUAACUGUUUUGCAGAGUUUGGUAUUGGAGAUGAAAAUACUCAUGAGCCUUAGCUAAUCUCAUAAAAGCAAAGGUAACUAAUCUCUUCUAUUUGUUAAUGAUCAACAAGUUUUCUCUUAUUUGAUAUUUGUUACAAUGUUAAUAGUAGUUCUCUGUUGUUUGAUGUUUUAAAGGUAUGUUUGUAUUGGCCUUCUUGUGUGGUGUUUUCUUAAGUCCUGGAAUGCGGCAAUAGUAAAGGUAUUGAAACUUCAUGUCUUUACGUGUUUGAUUUGCUGAAUGAUUCAUGUUCAUGACUGAAGAUCGUAUGUGUUGUUUGCUUUGCUCAAUGAUUCAAGUUAUGACUGAACAUCGUAUUAUUUGUUUCACAGGGACAAGGAGAAGGAGUGACCUUUUUCAUCGUGGAUUGCUUCUUCAUUGUUCCAAAUUUUUAUCGGCUACUUUAGAGUUAUUAUGCUCAUUUGAACUUGUUCAAUCUUUUGUUAUGCUUUCCUGAGUUGUUGAACUUUGUAUUAGUUGUGAGAUUGUUAAACUUUUGUUUUGGUUUAAAUCGGUUUGAUCUUGUUUUGGUUAUUUAAUCGGUUAUUUAUGAUAUUUCGUC